rnacentral:rRNA from 1 species
GGUUAAGCGACUAAGCGUACACGGUGGAUGCCCUGGCAGUCAGAGGCGAUGAAGGACGUGCUAAUCUGCGAUAAGCGUCGGUAAGGUGAUAUGAACCGUUAUAACCGGCGAUUUCCGAAUGGGGAAACCCAGUGUGAUUCGUCACACUAUCAUUAACUGAAUCCAUAGGUUAAUGAGGCGAACCGGGGGAACUGAAACAUCUAAGUACCCCGAGGAAAAGAAAUCAACCGAGAUUCCCCCAGUAGCGGCGAGCGAACGGGGAGCAGCCCAGAGCCUGAAUCAGUGUGUGUGUUAGUGGAAGCGUCUGGAAAGGCGUGCGAUACAGGGUGACAGCCCCGUACACAAAAAUGCACAUGCUGUGAGCUCGAUGAGUAGGGCGGGACACGUGGUAUCCUGUCUGAAUAUGGGGGGACCAUCCUCCAAGGCUAAAUACUCCUGACUGACCGAUAGUGAACCAGUACCGUGAGGGAAAGGCGAAAAGAACCCCGGCGAGGGGAGUGAAAAAGAACCUGAAACCGUGUACGUACAAGCAGUGGGAGCACAGAGCAAUCUGUGUGACUGCGUACCUUUUGUAUAAUGGGUCAGCGACUUAUAUUCUGUAGCAAGGUUAACCGAAUAGGGGAGCCGAAGGGAAACCGAGUCUUAACUGGGCGUUAAGUUGCAGGGUAUAGACCCGAAACCCGGUGAUCUAGCCAUGGGCAGGUUGAAGGUUGGGUAACACUAACUGGAGGACCGAACCGACUAAUGUUGAAAAAUUAGCGGAUGACUUGUGGCUGGGGGUGAAAGGCCAAUCAAACCGGGAGAUAGCUGGUUCUCCCCGAAAGCUAUUUAGGUAGCGCCUCGUGAAUUCAUCUCCGGGGGUAGAGCACUGUUUCGGCAAGGGGGUCAUCCCGACUUACCAACCCGAUGCAAACUGCGAAUACCGGAGAAUGUUAUCACGGGAGACACACGGCGGGUGCUAACGUCCGUCGUGAAGAGGGAAACAACCCAGACCGCCAGCUAAGGUCCCAAAGUCAUGGUUAAGUGGGAAACGAUGUGGGAAGGCCCAGACAGCCAGGAUGUUGGCUUAGAAGCAGCCAUCAUUUAAAGAAAGCGUAAUAGCUCACUGGUCGAGUCGGCCUGCGCGGAAGAUGUAACGGGGCUAAACCAUGCACCGAAGCUGCGGCAGCGACGCUUAUGCGUUGUUGGGUAGGGGAGCGUUCUGUAAGCCUGCGAAGGUGUGCUGUGAGGCAUGCUGGAGGUAUCAGAAGUGCGAAUGCUGACAUAAGUAACGAUAAAGCGGGUGAAAAGCCCGCUCGCCGGAAGACCAAGGGUUCCUGUCCAACGUUAAUCGGGGCAGGGUGAGUCGACCCCUAAGGCGAGGCCGAAAGGCGUAGUCGAUGGGAAACAGGUUAAUAUUCCUGUACUUGGUGUUACUGCGAAGGGGGGACGGAGAAGGCUAUGUUGGCCGGGCGACGGUUGUCCCGGUUUAAGCGUGUAGGCUGGUUUUCCAGGCAAAUCCGGAAAAUCAAGGCUGAGGCGUGAUGACGAGGCACUACGGUGCUGAAGCAACAAAUGCCCUGCUUCCAGGAAAAGCCUCUAAGCAUCAGGUAACAUCAAAUCGUACCCCAAACCGACACAGGUGGUCAGGUAGAGAAUACCAAGGCGCUUGAGAGAACUCGGGUGAAGGAACUAGGCAAAAUGGUGCCGUAACUUCGGGAGAAGGCACGCUGAUAUGUAGGUGAAGUCCCUCGCGGAUGGAGCUGAAAUCAGUCGAAGAUACCAGCUGGCUGCAACUGUUUAUUAAAAACACAGCACUGUGCAAACACGAAAGUGGACGUAUACGGUGUGACGCCUGCCCGGUGCCGGAAGGUUAAUUGAUGGGGUCAGCGCAAGCGAAGCUCUUGAUCGAAGCCCCGGUAAACGGCGGCCGUAACUAUAACGGUCCUAAGGUAGCGAAAUUCCUUGUCGGGUAAGUUCCGACCUGCACGAAUGGCGUAAUGAUGGCCAGGCUGUCUCCACCCGAGACUCAGUGAAAUUGAACUCGCUGUGAAGAUGCAGUGUACCCGCGGCAAGACGGAAAGACCCCGUGAACCUUUACUAUAGCUUGACACUGAACAUUGAGCCUUGAUGUGUAGGAUAGGUGGGAGGCUUUGAAGUGUGGACGCCAGUCUGCAUGGAGCCGACCUUGAAAUACCACCCUUUAAUGUUUGAUGUUCUAACGUUGACCCGUGAUCCGGGUUGCGGACAGUGUCUGGUGGGUAGUUUGACUGGGGCGGUCUCCUCCUAAAGAGUAACGGAGGAGCACGAAGGUUGGCUAAUCCUGGUCGGACAUCAGGAGGUUAGUGCAAUGGCAUAAGCCAGCUUGACUGCGAGCGUGACGGCGCGAGCAGGUGCGAAAGCAGGUCAUAGUGAUCCGGUGGUUCUGAAUGGAAGGGCCAUCGCUCAACGGAUAAAAGGUACUCCGGGGAUAACAGGCUGAUACCGCCCAAGAGUUCAUAUCGACGGCGGUGUUUGGCACCUCGAUGUCGGCUCAUCACAUCCUGGGGCUGAAGUAGGUCCCAAGGGUAUGGCUGUUCGCCAUUUAAAGUGGUACGCGAGCUGGGUUUAGAACGUCGUGAGACAGUUCGGUCCCUAUCUGCCGUGGGCGCUGGAGAACUGAGGGGGGCUGCUCCUAGUACGAGAGGACCGGAGUGGACGCAUCACUGGUGUUCGGGUUGUCAUGCCAAUGGCACUGCCCGGUAGCUAAAUGCGGAAGAGAUAAGUGCUGAAAGCAUCUAAGCACGAAACUUGCCCCGAGAUGAGUUCUCCCUGACUCCUUGAGAGUCCUGAAGGAACGUUGAAGACGACGACGUUGAUAGGCCGGGUGUGUAAGCGCAGCGAUGCGUUGAGCUAACCGGUACUAAUGAACCGUGAGGCUUAACCUU